ensembl:lncRNA
AUGUAAGUGAAACAUACUGUUAUCUAGAAAAUUGACAAAAACAGAUAAAAACAGUAGAAGCAGCAUUAGCUUGUGGUAAAUGUUGAUAAAAGAUUACCAUCUGCUCUUUGGGGCGUCUGCCAUUUGCAGAUGCAACAACACGGAUAGAGUAAAUGUGAAUUGAGUAAAUGAGAGUUGGCAGCUAUGUUCAGGAAAAGACCAGCUAUGGGAUUUGCAUUCGUGCUAAACGCCAGACUAGUGAAAUUUGGGGGUGGGUUUUAGAUGGGACUUACUCGUGUUAGCAGUGGAUUACAAUGCGAUGAAGCACCAAAAGUUUGUUCCUGCAAGACUGAUGUGGAAGGUGACAGUGUGGCAUAUGUGUACAGUGCCCUGACCGUUGCUGUCAUGUGUUAGAAGAUGAACAGGACUCCAUGGAGGAAUUGUCCUACUACUCCUAUGAGUAUGACCCUGAUGUGGAGCCCUUCCCUCUGGAGAAAGAGGAGCAGUUGGGGCAGACUGGAGAGGAAGUGGAAGCUGCUGAAAUGCUCAAGCCCCUGGACAGACAGCCACCAACAGUGGAUACAAAGGAUUCACCUGAACGAUGAGAGCUUUUCUGGGCGGCAGCGAAGACGAACGCACAUUGUACAUUCUCUGUAAAUACAUUUGUGUGAAAGGAGAAUACAAGGGUUACCCAAAUCUGUUUCAAGAAGAUGGUGGUACUAUGUUGUGUGUAUGUGUAUUUGUGCCUGUGUGAUUGUGUAUGUGUGUGUGUGUGAAAGAGAGCUACUGUCUCUGUCUUCUUUCUACGUGAUAAUGGCCAUCUCUCUCUUUCUCACAAGUGGUUGCCUUAGCUCUUUAUACAGUAUUUAGUGAUAUUAAGUUGUCUCCUUGUAAUCGUCUUGUAAUCUCAUUUGAAUAGUCCAGUAUUUAUGUUUGUAAGUAUAUUUGUUAAAAAACAAAAUGCUAUUUUAUUGUUUUGUUUUCUGUGGUAUUUAUUUAUAGCUAGUGCCUUUGUUUUCUCUGGUUGUUUCCUCUCCCUGUCUAUACAUCUUCCUCCCUUUCCCUCCUGUCCUCCAGUCCUCUCUUUACUCUGCCUGAAUGCAAAAGAUUGACAGCUCACUGCCAAUGCAGGCCUUGCAUUAAAACGUUGAGGUGCUUGACUACUAUCAUUAGGUAAUGGACUCUUCCUCUUGACAACUACCAGAGAAAGGAUACGCAUCUUGGAUAUCAUGGAGAGAGCAGCUGUAAUGACUAACCCCAGAAUAAGCUCAGUUUAAAGCUCACCCUGGCAACCGAUAUAUGUUCCUACACUGUUUAAAUCAGUCGGUCUAUUGGUUGCAGUCCCUACGUUGUGCAGACAGAUUAGACCGUGCAAUGCAUAAGCUGUUUUAAGUUCAGUACUAAGGACUACUGGCCGAAAGUCAACUAUGAAGUUUGAAGAAUCGGUGUAAAUUGAGUAAAUCUGAAUUGAAUGUAACCCCAGUCUCGUCAGGUACAUUCUGUUUCUUGGAAGAAAAAGAACAAGGAAAUAAACAUUGUAUACGAACUUUGACCUUUUUUCCUGUCUUUCUCCAAAGUUUAAUGAGUUUUGAAAAUGUGAGGAUGAAUGCGGUGAAGGGAGCAGCA